rnacentral:lncRNA from 1 species
GGGGAGCUGUCCAGGAGGCCGGCCUGGGAAUGAGCACAGGCCUGCGGCUGGCAGAGAGCCGGGUCGAGCCAGCCCUGGAGAAGCAGGCCCAGCUGGAGGAGCAGCUGCGGGACAAGGUGCUCCACGAGAAGGACCUGUCCCAGCAGCAGAUGCAAAGCGACCUGGACAAGGCUGACCUCAGUGCCAGGAGGGUCCCUGGUGGGUGCUGCAUGAGGCAGGCGUCACUGCAGAAGAGUGACAGAGCUGGGCCUGGCAGUGAAGCGUCUACAGAAGCAGAAUCUGGAGAAGGAUCAGGUCGACAAGGACCUCACCGAGAAGCUUGAGGCCCUGGAAUCCCUGCGGCUACAGGAGCAGGCGGCCCUGGAGACAGAGGAUGGAGAGGGGCUACAGCGGAGCCUAAGGGACCUGGCACAGGUGUGAGCCCAGAAAGGCGGGAAGACAGGGCCCUGCCAGGCG